AUGGCGUCCCUUCAGGCUGCUCUCCACAGCGCCACCGCCGGGCCAUCCUCUUCUGGCACCUCCCAGGAGUGGUAUCUCGACUCCGGGGCAGCCGCGCACAUGUCUUCGUCCCCUGGUAACCUCCUCUCUGUCCACCCCUCUCGAUCCGCUUCUCACGUCGUUGUUGGUAGCGGUGAAUGCCUACCCAUUACACACAUGGGCACCGGCUCCCUGAUCGGCGGCACCUCGCCGAUCCAGCUCCGCAAUGUCAUCGUCUGUCCUUCCAUCAUUAAGAAUCUCCUUUCUGUUCGUCAACUCUGUCGAGAUAACCCAGUAACUGUUGAAUUUGACGCGCGCGGUUUCUCUGUCAAGGACCUUCGAACCAGGGUGGCGAUCCUCCGAUGUGAUUCCGGCGGUGAUCUGUACCCCGUGGGCCGCCCGUCACCACUCCCGUCGUCUCCGUUCGCCGGUGUCGCCGCCACCGACCUGUGGCACCAGAGACUUGGUCACGCCGGCGCGUCUUCGCUACGUCAGAUCCCACUGCACCCGUCACCUGAAUUCAGCAAGUCACACCCGCAUGUGUGCUCCGCCUGUCGUUUAGGCAAACACACACGUCUACCAUUUCAGUCAUCUUCUAGUUUCAGUUUGUUUCCCUUUCAAACUUUGCACCUUGAUGUAUGGACGUCGCCAGUUGUAAGCAUUUCCGGAUAUCAGUUUUACUUAGUUGUGCUCGAUGACUAUACACACUAUGCAUGGACUUUUCCUCUGAAACACAAAUCUGAAAUUUCCUCCAUCCUGACAGAGUUCUUCGCGUACGUUCAAACCCAGUUUCAGCUCCCCAUCCUUGCGCUCCAAACAGACAAUGGGCGCGAGUUCGAUAACCACACCGUCCGUGCUCUACUUGCUCGUCACGGCACCCACUUCCGCCUCUCGUGCCCCUACACUAGCCAGCAAAAUGGCAAGGCUGAGCGUACCCUCCGAACUCUCAACGACGGCGUCCGCGCACUCCUCUUUCACGCUUCCAUGCCGCCGCGCUUCUGGGCCGAAGCUCUCAGCACAUCCACAUACCUGCUCAACCGCCGGCCAUGUCACUCCACUGCGCCGCGGUCACCACACGAGAUGCUUUUAGGCGUGCCACCCGACUACUCCCUCCUUCGUGUCUUUGGUUGCCUUUGCUUCCCCAACCUCACCUCGCAAUCGCACCACAAACUUGAUCGCCGAUCCACCGCGUGCAUCUUCCUUGGGUACCCCCCAGACCACCGCGGCUACCGGUGUUUCGAUCCCGUCUCUCGCCGCGUUUUCACUUCCCGGCAUGUGGUUUUCCACGAGGACGUGUUCCCUUUCGCCUCGCCGCCGGACGCCGCGUCAACACCUUCUCCUGCGGCUCGUAUUUCACCCACUGUUGUGCAGGUGCCCACUCCCCCCUACGUUCGUGCGCUGCCCGUUGCUUCGGACACGGCUGACAUGCCCGUGCAGCAUUCAGGCUCGCCUGCCGGGGGCUCGGCGAUCCACUCCAGUGGCUCCCCGCCCAGCGCGCCGUCCUCAGCUUCCCAUACGGGCCCUGGGUCGGCCAACGACGACUCCACCACGGGAACCUCUUCGUCAGGCACAUCUUCUUCGAGCACGGACGCCUCCUGUCCGCCGGCCGUCGCGCCCCCACCGCCACCACCGACGCGCGCGGUCACCCGCGCCCAGCGUGGGAUAUUUCGGCCUAACCCGAAGUACUACGACGCCGCUGCUGCCACCACCACGGAGAUCUCGCCGGUGCCCAGCUCGGUUCGUGUGGCGGUGCGUGACCCCAACUGGCUCGCCGCCAUGCGGGCUGAGCACGAUGCACUUGUUCGCAACCGAACAUGGACGCUGGUGCCUCGGCCUCCUGGUGCCAACCUCAUCACCGGCAAGUGGCUCUUCAAGCACAAGAUGAACGCCGACGGCACGCUGGAGCGGUACAAGGCCAGGUGGGUCGUGCGCGGCUUUCGCCAGCGCGCCGGCAUCGACUACGGCGAGACGUUCUCUCCGGUCGUCAAGCCAGCAACGAUUCGCACGGUGCUCACCCUCGCUGCAUCUCGCGGUUGGCCGGUGCACCAACUUGACGUCUCCAACGCCUUCCUCCAUGGCACACUCGCCGAGGAGGUCUACUGCCUUCAACCUGCCGGCUUCGUCAACCCCGAGCGCCCUCACCAUGUCUGCAGACUCUCCAAGUCGCUGUACGGGCUGAAACAGGCCCCGCGUGCCUGGUUCCUCCGCUUUGCCGGCUUCCUCGCCACUGUGGGCUUCGUGGCCACCCGCUCCGACUCGUCGCUGUUCGUCUACCAUCGCGGCGUGGACACGGCGUUCCUCCUCCUCUACGUGGAUGACAUCGUGCUCACCGCCUCGUCUGCGGCUGUUCUCGCGCGCAUCGUCGCCCAGCUCACUGGUGAAUUUGCGAUGAAGGACCUCGGCGAUCUCCACUUCUUCCUCGGCAUUCGCGUGACACGCACGGCAGCCGGCUUUUUCCUGUGCAAAAAACAGUACGCGGAAGAGCUUGUCGAUCGCGCCGGCAUGGAAGCCUGCCGCCCUUCCCCAACGCCCAUUGACACCAAGGCCAAGCUGCCCGCGGCUGAUGGCCCUCGUGUGGACGACCCGUCCGCCUACCGAAGCAUUGCUGGAGGCCUGCAGUACCUCACCAUCACCCGCCCCGAGCUCGCCUACGCCGUCCAACAGGCCUGCCUACACAUGCAUGACCCACGCGAGUGCCAUCUCGCGUUGGUCAAGCGGGUGCUGCGGUACGUGCGCGGCACGACAUCCCUCGGUCUCCAUCUCCGCGCCUCGGCCACACUCGAUGUACGUGCCUUCACCGAUGCUGACUGGGCGGGCUGCCCCGACACACGCCGUUCCACGUCCGGCUUCGUCGUCUACCUCGGCGACGCGCUCGUCUCCUGGUCCUCCAAGCGCCAGGCGACGGUGUCCCGCUCCAGUGCGGAGGCCGAAUACCGCGGCGUCGCCAACGCCGUCGCCGAGUGCGUCUGGCUCCGUCAACUACUCGGCGAGCUCCUGGCUCCAGUGCAUAAGGCCACGCUGGUGUUCUGCGACAACGUGUCCGCGGUCUACCUCUCCGCCAACCCAGUGCACCACCGCCGGACGAAGCACGUGGAGCUUGACAUCCACUUCGUUCGCGAACGCGUGGCAUUGGGCCAAUUCCGCGUCCUUCACAUCCCCACUCGGCAGCAGCUCGCCGACAUCAUGACCAAAGGCUUGCGCUCGGACGUUUUCUCUGAGUUCAGGUCCAGCCUUUGCGUCGCCGGUGACGACGUCACGACUGCGGGGGGGUGUUAG
rnacentral:rRNA from 1 species